rnacentral:rRNA from 1 species
AUUGAACGCUGGCGGCAGGCCUAACACAUGCAAGUCGAGCGGGCGAGUGGAGCUUGCUCCAUGAUUCAGCGGCGGACGGGUGAGUAAUGCCUAGGAAUCUGCCUGGUAGUGGGGGACAACGUUUCGAAAGGAACGCUAAUACCGCAUACGUCCUACGGGAGAAAGUGGGGGAUCUUCGGACCUCACGCUAUCAGAUGAGCCUAGGUCGGAUUAGCUAGUUGGUGAGGUAAAGGCUCACCAAGGCGACGAUCCGUAACUGGUCUGAGAGGAUGAUCAGUCACACUGGAACUGAGACACGGUCCAGACUCCUACGGGAGUCAGCAGUGGGGAAUAUUGGACAAUGGGCGAAAGCCUGAUCCAGCCAUGCCGCGUGUGUGAAGAAGGUCUUCGGAUUGUAAAGCACUUUAAGUUGGGAGGAAGGGCAGUAAGUUAAUACCUUGCUGUUUUGACGUUACCAACAGAAUAAGCACCGGCUAACUUCGUGCCAGCAGCCGCAGUAAUAC